ACCGGCACCUCUAAGGGCUUACCCGAGAUGUUUUUUAGCCAUUUAACAACUGAUUUUGUCAUGGGAUAAAUUUUGAUGGAUAAGAUUUUAACAAGGUAUAGAGCAAUGUAGUCGAGAUGACACAGUUAUGCAAAAUGUGUAGACAGAAUUUGAGACAUUUACAUUGGCAGGUCUAUUCACUGAUUAUUUAUUUACUCUGUAUUCAUCAAAAUUUAUUUAUUUUGUACUACAUUGUAGAGUGUUCGAUUGACGCAAGCAGAGAUGGCCAUGAUGCUAGCUGAUAGCACUUGCUAACUGAAGAAGUUUGCAUACCUUUUCUCAAAUUAAAAAAAGUUUCUUACCAACUAAUGAGCCUACCAGUUAUAGGCCAGUUGCUCUAACUCAACUUUAGGUCGGUACUUUCCUGUAGAGUAUACCUCUGUAAUUCUCCAUCCAAGAUACUAAAGUUUAUGCUUCGCUGCUUGCACACACUGCAAUUCAAGGCAGAUCUAGAUUACAUCCCUAAGCAACCCACCUAUAUUGGUAAAUUUUUAUUGUGUUAUUUAAAUUAAAAAAAUUAAUGUACUCUGCUGGAGAAGUCACAAGCCAUAUUAAUUUCAGAAGAAAACAUUUCUAAUUAGUGGUUAAGGUCUUGUUGUGUCUAAAAUGAAAAUUCCAAACAAAAACAGAGGCACAAUUUGUAUUUAUACGAUGAAUAAUGGAAAUUUCAAUUGCUAAAUUUAACUAAGGUUUUUAGAAUAAAUUGUGGUCUCUGAGCUCGUCUCACGUAAUCCAUCAACUAAAUGUAUUAUAUUAGCAUGUCUAAUUCAUAAGUGCAACCAGCAAUUAGUUUAAUUUUCCCCUCAAAUAAAAACAAUUAGAGUUUUGUUUGAUUUAAAUUAACAAAGUGGCCUACACAUUAUUUAUAUGCACUAUAGUUAUUUUGUUCUCAAUGGCUUGAUUUGAACGCCGAAAUUUUAUUAUCCCUUAUUUCGUUGCAACGCACGGGCCCUUUUGUUAGUAUAUAUAUAUACUCUAUAUAUAAAGAAAGAGUAGCACUAUUCUGAUCCCAAAAUUAGAAUAACUAUUUGGAUCACAAUCAGCAUAGGGGCGAUCGGACUUUCCUGAGAUCCCCCGAUCGGUAAAACAAAAGAAAAAAACCACCCACCCGCUAGCCACAACCCCUCCCCCAACCUCCCCCGAUCCCAUCUGGCCCCUCGCCCCGAUGUGCAUCGCCGCCGCAGUCUCCCUCCCUGCCCCGUGCCGCCACCGGGCCCCGGCCACCUCCCGCGCCGCUGCCGGGCCCCGGCCACCUCCCCCGCCGCCGGCUGGCCCCGGCCACCUACAACGCCGCCAUCGGCCCCCUCCCCUGCCGUAAUCCAGCCCGAGCGAGCCCAUCACCGAUUGCUUCUUGCCCCGCGGCGGAGCGCCGCCGCACACCCACCCACAACUACAACUCCCCCGCCCCGCCCACAUCGACCACACACGGUGCUCGGUCAUGGGGACAACUGAGCGGAGCUCGAGCUCUGGCUCCUCUCUCCUCUUGCGCGCCACCGGCCAUUGCACCUCUUCGCGGUACACUCGGCCAAGGGGGCAACCAAGCGGCGCCUGAGCUCCGGCUCCUUUCUCCUGUUGCACGGGCACCAGCCCUUGCCGCACGCCUUGGUGCACAUCCGCGCCCAUUGGCCCCUCUCUGCUGGCCCGCCAGCCACUACGGCGGCGCUCCGGCGACCUCUCCACUCCUGUCUGCGUGUUGCGGCAUGGACGAACACCUCCUCCCUUCUAAUGGCAAAAAUGGGGAAAGGAGCAGCUUCAGUUUAAAAAAUGCGGCAGCUUCAGUUCAGUUUGUAAGAAAGGAGCAAAAAAGAAAGGUUGCUGGGCUCGUUUGUGCACUAUGUGCAUAAAAAUGGGGAAAGUUAAACUUCAUUAUUAUUGCUUGCUCCUCCAGUGGCCGGAUCUCGCCACCAUGACCACUCAACUCGUGUUGUCGGCGACCUGCCAAAGCCUAAGCGACGACCUGUCCGAGGCCUAAGCAUGAACUUCAUGCUUGAAUCUUCUCCAAAUUGAUAUUGCCUGCAACGGGGAGGGGCAAGCCUGUAGUCCAGCACUAUGAAGGGAGGAACUGCUUCUACUUCUCUUCUGAAAUCUCAAUGCCAUGUCUUGAUUUUCAGAGGUAGUUUUUGGUUUGUACCAACCAUUUAAGAUGGUAUCUCAUCUGAAUGUGGUAUGCAUGCAGGCCAGCGUUCUCAAGUGGCAGAGCGGAGCCGUUUGCCUAGCGGGUCGAGCAGGAGUUCAAUGUAUAUUACACAAGAAGAAAAAAACAAACACUAGGUUGCAGAUGUUGUGUUUUGUGAUUGUCGUAGGCUGACAGCCAAGACGACGUCCUCCACAUUUCCUACCAGCUCCGCCCAAUCCCAGCACCGGCGCGACCCCAGUGCGGCGCCUGAUUCCGCCAUCCCGCAUCCGCCUGCAUACGCCAGUGUGCCACCACUAACGACCUGCCCGACCCCCCUGGCCUCCUAUAAACUGCUGCUGCUCCCUGUACUUUUUUGGAUGAAGUUAGGUGAUGUAGCUAUCUUUGGAUGUAGCAACACAACUAUGGAUAUUGUGAUGAUGCUAUUAGUCCAGUGUACAUACUACAGAGUUACAUACGUAAUCACGUACUGCUGAAAUUGAUCUCUAGUAGUACAUCUGACAGUGUGUUUUACAACCUUCUCUUUUCGCUUGAUCUUGCCAGCACCACUCGACCGAGAAACACGAUGACAGUGACACGCUGGGCGAAAUCGGAGAGAAGGCAAGGACGAGGCGGAGGAGUUCCUGAAGAUGGCCAAGGAGAAGACUGACGACGUUGCCGAGGGCGCAAAGGAGACAGUGCAGGAGACCAAGGAGGUGGUGCUCGGCGAGUCCGACGAUGACAUGGACAAGUUCAAGCAGCGGGUCGAGCAGGGGAGCUACGAUCAGAAAUAAGUGAGAGGGAGGUGUUCCCUUGGUGUAUGUUCGCGCGCAGUCAUGGCCUGCCCAAAGCCAUUAGCUCUGCAAUUUGUAUGUCAACCACUAGGCUUGGUAUCUGUAUGUGUAAUGUGAUCUUGGUACUAUACAACUUGCCACUUCCCGCAGAAUAAGUAAUAUUGAGCUUCUGAAUGUUUUUUCUUCU